GUAAGGAAUAUUGGGCAAUGGACGCAAGUCUGACCCAGCCAUGCCGCGUGAAGGAUGACGGCCCUAUGGGUUGUAAACUUCUUUUGUACGGGAAAAAACCUUCGAACGUGUUCGAAGCUGAUUGUACCGUAAGAAUAAGCAUCGGCUAACUCCGUGCCAGCAGCCGCGGUAAUACGGAGGAUGCAAGCGUUAUCCGGAUUCAUUGGGUUUAAAGGGUGCGUAGGCGGAUUAAUAAGUCAGUGGUGAAAUCCUACAGCUUAACUGUAGAACUGCCAUUGAUACUGUUAGUCUUGAGUACAUUUGAAGUGGGCGGAAUGUGUCAUGUAGCGGUGAAAUGCUUAGAUAUGACACAGAACUCCGAUAGCGAAGGCAGCUCACUAAACUGUAACUGACGCUGAGGCACGAAAGCGUGGGGAUCAAACAGGAUUAGAAACCCGAGUAGUCC
rnacentral:rRNA from 1 species